rnacentral:rRNA from 1 species
UACAGGGGGUGCAACCGUUGCUCGGAAUUAUUGGGCGUAAAGCGCUCGCAGGUGGUUCGUUGCGUCGUGCGUGAAAGACCCCGGCUCAACUGGGGAGGGUCGUGCGAUACGGGCGAACUGGAGGCCAGUAGGGGGAUGCGGAAUUCCGGGUGUAGUGGUGGAAUGCGUAGAGAUCCGGAGGAACACCAGCGGCGAAGGCGGCAUCCUGGACUGGUCCUGACACUCAGGAGCGAAAGCGUGGGGAGCGAUCCGG